rnacentral:misc_RNA from 1 species
AACACUGUUAACCUGCGGUACCUGCGGAAGGAUCAUUACCGAGUUUACAAACUCCCAACCCUAUGUGAACCUUACCAAUCGUUGCUUCGGCGGGCUUAGCCCCCGCGCCCUCGCCGGCGCCGGGAGAAAGGCGCCCGCCGGGGACCCCAAACCCAAUGUUUUUCAUGCAGUAUUUCUGAGUGGCAAACGCAAAAAUAAAUCAAAACUUUUAACAAUGGAUCUCAGAUCGGAAGAGCACAC